GACGAACGCUGGCGGCGUGCUUAACACAUGCCAGUCGAACGGAAAGGCCCUGCUUUUGUGGGGUGCUCGAGUGGCGAACGGGUGAGUAACACGUGAGUAACCUGCCCUUGACUUUGGGAUAACUUCAGGAAACUGGGGCUAAUACCGGAUAGGAGCUCCUGCUGCAUGGUGGGGGUUGGAAAGUUUCGGCGGUUGGGGAUGGACUCGCGGCUUAUCAGCUUGUUGGUGGGGUAGUGGCUUACCAAGGCUUUGACGGGUAGCCGGCCUGAGAGGGUGACCGGCCACAUGGGGACUGAGAAAGGGCCCAGACUCCUACGGGAGGCAGCGGUGGGGAAUAUUGCACAAUGGGCGGAAGCCUGAUGCAGCAACGCCGCGUGCGGGAGGACGGCCUUCGGGUUGUAAACCGCUUUCGCCUGUGACGAAGCGUGAGUGACGGUAAUGGGUAAAGAAGCACCGGCUAACUACGUG
rnacentral:rRNA from 1 species